AUUGCUAGAGUCUGUCAACCCUGACCUCCUGAGACUUUGCCGUGAGAAUAAAAUGAGGCUGUAGAGAAUGUUUCUUCAAAAUAUUUAUUACUCUCCAUCACUGCAUUGGGUGAAGAGGGAAAAGGUGGAUAAAUUAACAUGCCCUACUGUGACUAAGCCAAGGCAAGUAUAACUGAACUCCUCUCGCCCCACAGUCUCCCCAUAUUGAACUUUAGAUUUUAUUUAAUUGAUUUAUAUACUGCUUAAUCACUAAAAACCUCUAAGAGGUUUACAUAUGCUUCUCAGAAACUUCCCUUUUGUUCUUCAUGAAGCACCAUGGACAUGCAUUUAAUAAUAACUGAAGAAGAAGAAGAAUAGCUAUACUUUUGAAAUAUGGUGGGGAAAUACAAAAUUCUCAUUCCUAACUAAUAUUGAAGCAUGCCAUCUCUUCGGGGUUUGCUUAUGAAGCUUUGAUUCACACGGCUUUUGGUCCUUGUUUUUCACAGAACUAAAAAAAGCACCUGAAAAAGGAAUUUGCCUUCCCCCUCGUGGCUCUGCUCAGAUAUUGUUCCCGCUGUUCAUCUCUGACAGAUGUUUUAUGUUCUUUGGAACUCUGUUGGAUCUUCAGGUAGUGCCAACCUUCAGAGCAUCUCAACCUCACAACUUUCACCAUUUUCUUCUCAGGUAUUCCACAAUACUGAACCUCCAGAUCUGUAGCAUAACAAUACGUUUGAGUGUGUAUCAAUGUGGGGUUUUUUUUGGAAACAGAAAGGGUUUGAAAUUGGCUGUGACUCCCUUACGAUGACCUCUGCCUCAUAGUACUCUGCUAGUAUUUUACACCUACCUUUAGGGAUUCUUGCCAAGAAUUGUUGAAUGAUUUUACAGCACUGUUUGUUUUUUGAUCUCUCAUGCUGUGGAAGAUCUUUUCUAUAUACCCCUAUUUUUGUGUAACAAGGCAAGAAGGAAGAAAAAGGGAAGGGAAAGGCCAGAGGUGAUUCUAGAAGUGUUCUAUCUAGGCAACUUUACUCAAGCUAAAGAGAGGUGGUUGAGUAUCUCUGGAUUGUACAUUGCUGAGUGCUCUCUGUGUGAUAAAUGCCUCUCAUAAAUUUAACAAAAAGUCACACAAUCAAAAUAUAUUUGGAACACUAAAUACCACACUGUGUUCUUAUCAGAGUCAUACUAACAAAUUCCUUUUUUAAAAGGCCACAGUGAGCAUUGGAAAACUCAAGAUCUACCCACACUGGAAGAAUGGCAGAUGCAACUGAUAGACUAUAUGCAACUGGCUGAAAUGACUGGCAGAAUCCGUGACCUGGGAGAAGAGAGAAUCGAGGAGGAUUGGAAGAAAUUUAAGAACUACCUACAAAAACAUUGUGAUUUGACUGAAUGCUGAAUAAGAUGCUAGACUAAAUAACUGAGCACCACUUAACUUAGAAGUUUUUAAGAAAAUAAGAAAAACUGUGAAAGUUUAACUCUUUAUGAGAACUAUAAGAUUAUGAAAUAUCGAAGAGAUAUAAGAAUUUAAAUAAGAUGAUAAAUUGCUGACAAAAUGUUAUAAUGAUGAAGGUGGGAGCGGGAGAUGUGAGGAAGUCCAAAGAAAAUGUGAAAUUAUGUUAAGACGAAUGUUAUAUUGUUUAUUACAUUUAUUCCUAUUGUAAAAUCCAAUAAAUUGCUUUAAAAAAAAAAAUAAAUAAAUAAAAGGCCACAGUGAGAUCCCUGUUUGUUCAGCUGCAUGUUAAGCAAAUCUAAUACAUUAUCCAUCUCAGGUUAAUUUAAUUCUAGAUUUUGGCUUGUGCUGUACUUAUUAUAACGCACUCAUCUUCAUGAUGUGUUAUAAUGCACCAGAUAUGCAUCCAAUGGACAUCUGGCUGCCAGAGGCCAAUGGUGAAAGUGAGGGAGACUCAGAACUGUAUUCAGCUAAGUCGUGUUCACAGAAGACCCAUUGAAACGAAUAUGGUGAACUACAAGAAGUUCUGUGAGGAGUAAUUUAAGAAAUAUUGUAAAAAUGGAAAGGGAGAAAUGAUUUGCUUGAAAAUGUAAAGGCAAUAUUAAGUUAAGAAUUGCAGGAGAAAUAAUCAAGACGGAAGGCUAUCAGAGAUGCUGAAGGAAGUCCAAACAAGGACAUAUGUAUAAUAAUUUGUGUGGUAUGUCUUUAAAAUUUUUGUAUGCUAAAAAUUAAUUAAAAAUAUUAUAUAAAAAAAUGAAACGAAUAUAGUAGUUGUGACCAACUUCAAUGGAUCUAAUCUGAGUAGGAAAUACUGUCCACAAUUCAAAUCCCGAUUCAGCAAUGAAGCUCUCAGUGGAUGACGUUGGGUCACUUGCUACCUCUAACCCAGGCAAACCCAUAGGCAAACUCCGGCUCUCCAGAUGUUUGGGACGACAAUUCCCAUCAUCCCUAGCUAACAGGACCGGUGGUCAGGGGUGAUGGGAAUUGUAGUCCCAAACAUCUGGAGGGCCAGAGUUUGCCUAUGCCUGAUCUAACCUUAAUGCACCUCACAGGAUUGUUCUAAAAUAGAGGGGUUGUGUGGUUAUGUAGCCCACUCUCAGGUCUUUGGAGGAAGGUUGGGUUAAAAAGACGAUAAACACAUUUUUAAAGGAAUGCAUUUAUUAUCCCUUCUCACUCUGACCCUCUACUUGCAAAAACCCACCCAGACUGUUGGCUUUGAGCUCAAAGGGUAAUCUGUGCUUCCAAUUUGCCAUAUGUAGUCCUCUGAGAAUAUCAGGUUUCAAGAAAGGAGAUUCCGACUAAACAUUUGGAAAAACUUUCUGACAGUAAGAGCUUCUUCGGCAGUGGAACAGACUCCCACGAGAGGUGGUGGACUCUCCUGCCUUGGAGGUUUUUAAGCAGACUUUGGAUAGUCAUCUGUCAUGGAUGCUUUAGCUGUGAUUCCUGCAUCGCAGGGGGUUGGACUAGAUGACCCUUGGGGUCCCUUCCAACUAUAAGAUUCUAUGGUUCUACUAUCUUUUUCUUGUGAAAUAUACCUGUAGGUUUGCUAGACAGUCUAUUUAAAAAAAAACAAAAAACUUUUAAGCGUUCCUGGGUUGCGUAGACAUGGACCAAUAAAAUCUGCUUCUUCUUGGCAAAAUAAAAUUUUCUGUGUGUACACAUUCACCCAUAACACCCCUCAAAGGACAUGCCUAUAAUAAUGGAACGUAGCUGAACUUAAUGGAAUGAUUGAAUUAAAAAAAAUUGUAUAUUGAGCAUUGGAGGGAGAACAAUAUAAAUAGAGACACAUUUGCCAAGGCUGAGACAUUUCUGCAGUGUGGCAAAGCUGUGUUCCUGUAGUGCUUGAGGAGAAAUGGCAUCUUGAGCUGAUAGUAAAGGACAUAGUGAUGGAUCUCAAGUUCAUAAAAAGUGCAAGCCUAUGGGGUUUAUUGUAGUUCCAAGGUCUGCAGUAUUCCCUAUACACAGUUACAUGCCAUCUAAGAUGAGUGCUACAAACUAACAAUAUGGCUCUUUGCCAUACUCUUGAUAAUGUUCUUGAGAACUACCGUGUCUCGCAUUGGACUCCUUAUCAUAAGGCUCCUGUCCUGCUCCAAAAUAAAAUAAUAUCUAGAUAUUACUUCUACAUCCAAUUCUGGAAAAUGAAAGUAAGUGCUCUAAUUCAUCAAAGGAAAAUCUGCAAAAUGCAUUAGUAUGAACGAAGAACCAGCUUACCUAAGAAUAUAAAUGCAAGAGUUAUUAUCAACCCUUUCCCCACACAUCCAAUUAAAGUAACACCUUAAGCCUUGCUGAAGACCUUGUAUGGCAAGAGACUUCAGAUCAAACCUUCCGAGGCCUCUAGAUGAAAGAUUCCCUCUGAUAAAAAUUAGACGAUAACCAUCCUCGCUUCCUUGCAGGAUAUCUUCAGAAGAAAGGGCUAAGAAGUAAACCCUACGCAAACACCAUGUAGAAUCCCUAAGGUGGUUGGAUAGCAUCUUGUACGCUUCUUUCCAGCAAUUCCUGAAGCCAAGUUGGUGCCAAAUGUACUGCUUUGCUUUCCUUAGGACCAUAUCAACAAGGCCAAGAGUGGGGUCGUAACGUCUGGGCAGCAGUGGUGUAGCGUGAGAGGCAGGGAGGCACAGAGGCAGUUGCCCUGAGUGCAAAAUUGUUAGGGGCACAAAAUCUAAACACCCUGUGUUGCCUCAAUACUGCUGUAUACUUCCGUCACUUAGCUCCAUCGAAAAUGGCUUCCCCAUGUGAACCAGAAAGUGACCGCUCUAGACAAUGGAAUGACUCUUCUUAUCCCUGCAACUGCGAUCUCCUGGGUGAUGCGGAUGCCAUUAGGCAACUGAAUGUGUAUGCAUACUCUGUCCAUUUCCCUCCUUCCAAUCCACACCCUCCCCGGAGCCCUGGCAACCAAUGCUACACCACUGCUGGGCAGUCCAGGCCCUCUCUACACACUGCCCAGGCUUGCACUCCAGAGAGUUUGCUUCCAUGCUGUUAAUGCAGCAAAGACAAUGUGGGAAGCAGCAGUUAGGAGUUAUUAAACUCAGCCUGAUUGGCAUAAGGUAUGAGCACUACAGGUUGCCUUUGUCGGUAGGAGAGAUCACUGUGUCUCACUGGUCAGCUAUUGCCCACCUUAAGCCAGGUAGUCCCAAUCAACCUUACAGAUGAAUGCAGAGCCUGGAGACAGGUUAUGUAUUCACAGCAGGGACCAAAAGAGAAAUGACUGCUGGGAGGGGUACGGAAAGAAGAAACACCAUGAUAUACCAAUGAGUGUUCUUGAUUGCUGUAUCCAUAAAUGACUCUUUGGCAGGAGAUAACUAGCAUCUGGAGAUAACUGCAGUCAGUUAGUAUUAUGGGAUACAUAGAGGUGGACACACGAAGCUCCUUUCAGACCUUUAGGUGGACACACAGAGGUGAGAGACACCUAACAUUUGCGAGAGAUGGAUUGAAAUUUCUCAAAGGAAAUUGUUCUGAAAUAAUUUCUGAGUUAGAGAGUGCCACUUUGUCACAGGAUGUUCACCAGCUUUUUUGUGGGGGUUGGGGACAAAGACACUGUGCUGGUUUACAACCGUUAAUAGUGAACUCAACCCCCCUGGAAUUAAUUGGUGGAGGAUUUCUCUUUCCCUAGAUAAAUUUGAAUGAAAUGGUUCUCUUCCCUAAUCAGUGCCAGAUUUAUGUACAGUGGUACCUCGGGUUACAGACACUUCAGGUUACAGAAUCCGCUAACCCAGAAAUAGUACCUCGGGUUAAGAACUCUGCUUCAGGAUGAGAACAGAAAUUGUGCGGUGGCAGUGGGAGGCCCCAUUAGCUAAAGUGGUACCUCAGGUUAAGAACAGUUUCAGGUUAAGAAUGGACCUCCAGAACGAAUUAAAUUCUUAACCUGAGGUACUACUGUAUAGGCUAAGUAGGCUGAAGCCUAGGACCUCUAAAUCUAGGGGGCCUCACCAGCCUGCCCUCUCCCCAGUGCUGCAGCCUCCCCUCUCCCAAAAUUGUAAACCCAAGACUUCAUGCAAGGGCAGGGCAACUCAGGCCCAGCAGCUAUGAGACUUAGUGCUAGCCAGUGGGGCCCAAUUUUAAGCAGUGGGGUGAAACUUGAAUGGGGUUUUUGUUUUUUGUUUUUUGGGGGUAGGGCCUCAGUUCACGGCCAAAGUCUGCAAAAUCUUACAGAUAUAAACAAAAUCCAUCUAGAUUGCUCUGGUGCCGAGGCCCCCUUAGGAGCAGCACGUGGAGCCCAAUUUGGCCAAAUUACUUCAAUUACCUUAAGGUCAGCCCUGAUCAGACUGUGCAGGGGUUGGACUGACAAACCCUGCACCUUCUAGGUCCCUGGUGUCACUAUUCAGAGUACAGACUCAAGGACUUGUUGUGGAAAUAAAGGGAGGACACUUAUUGGAAAUCAGUUUUGUUACCUCUCCCCCACCCCAAAUCCCAAGAAAAUGAGCCCAGCCACCUUUUAUUCACAGUCGCAUAAGCACUACACUACAGCAUGGCCAUAAACCUGAAUGUUCAACCACUGAAAUAUACACCCAAUAUGUAGCAUUGAAGAUUUAUGUUAUUGCUUUAUGAAUGAACACUGUGUUUUAUGAAUGGACUCUGUAUUUUGUGAAUUACCUAAGAGCCACCAAUAGGGAGCUCUAGAAUCUGAUAGCUAACCAAUUGGGUGCUACCAAACAGCGACCCCUAUUGCUGCAAGCAGGUAACCAGCAGGGAAUGCUUCAGCUCAGCCUUUCCACUGUUGACUGAACAUCCCCUGCUGUGCAGAUAAUGGAGAAAGCUCGUAAAUUGUAUCCCUUCUGGCAUCCUAGCGAACUCUAUUACGUUGGUGUAACCCUGGUGCACCAGAAGCCCAGAAUAGCAGCAAAUAAAAUCUGCUCAUACAUCAGCGUUAGUCUUCCUAAAUUAUAAAGCUCCAAAAUGCAGGCCAAAAUAUAGCAGAUCUGGGAAGAGCAAGGCAUACAAUGGGCACCACCAGUGAAAAGACCCUGCUCCGUGUAGCUCCUGCCCUGUCAUUUGAUAUGGUGCCCACUUGCCCUCCUUCUUGACAUGGAAUGCUGUCUAUUGGAGUUUCCAGGUCUAGUACAAAGACCAUAAGAAGGGAGAACAGGGACCUUGAAGUUCCCAACAGCUGUUAAGCAAGCAAGCACACAGGUCACCUUUGUCACAGUCAGGCCGCUUAUGUCCUGGCCAAGCCUGUACCCAAUCUUGUUUUUGUACAAUCUUGUUUGUCCUCAGUAACCAAAAUUAUAUUAUCAACAUAUACAAGCAGAAAAGUUGUUUUCCUUCAUUUGCAAGGAAUCAUACAAAACAAAGUGGGACUAAUAAAGAAAAGUUCCAGGGUGGUAACAGAAAGCAAACUAAAAAUGCUUUUGCAGUUCAUCAAAACUAUCCAGCAAUAUCAAGUUCUAGGAAAACUGGUGCUAUUAACAGUAAUCCUUCUAGUUGGCUAAUUGGUUCGGCAACUUCCAUGCACAUGACGUGUGAUGCUAAUUAUUUCCCCCAAGAGUUAAAUGAUAACUAAUCAGAGGCAACCACAGUUGCAAAUGGCAACAAAAUAUCUGUGAAAGGAAAAGGAGCAGGUUUGCUCAAGUGUGUUGCAGGUAGAAACACUGUUUGUAAUGAAGUGAGAGCAGUAGUUUACUUGCUCAAAUUAACAAAUAAGAAAGUUUUGAGAAUUUAAAUUCUAGAUUAAAAUUGAUUACUUAAGUGAGAAGGGGAAUGUAACAAAAACACUGGGGCUUAAUUUGAAUAGUAGAGUGCAUGGUAUGUGGAGGUCAAUCUCACCCUUUAUUUCCACACUGUGGCUGCAGACCAAAGGACUCGUCAGGAGAGCUAUGAGAUUCAGGUGAGGGUCAGAUGCCUUGUCAAUCCCUUGUCAGUCCCAGCAAGUAUAUAACAGGAAGACCCGGCCUGCCCAGGGUUUACAAAGUUCCGUUAUCGCAAAAGUUUUUCAGUGUUAAUUUUAUGCAUUUUUAAAAAUCACCAUGGUAUUUAACAAUAAUAUCUUAUAUCCUUUAGAGGUGAAAUUGUGAAUUGCAGAAUUUUAAAUACCCAUCAUCAUCCUUGGCUUCACUCAAUUUUGUUUAUAACACACUUUCAUUUUCUUCUAGUUGUGAGGGUGGGGGAUUGGGAGGGGCUUCACAAGUAGAGUAGCCUAGGGUCUCUCUUCAUCUAAAUCCGGCCCUGCCCCUGAUGCAUUUUUUCUGCCCACAAUUAGGAUGGAGAAUUUUGGGAGACUAUUUGUGCAUAACUCUACUUUUUAUUUCCCCCUCACAUCUGUGUGUUCAGUCUAUGAAUGAGAAAAAUAUCCCAAAGCAGCUAGGAUCAGAGCAGUAGCUUCUUAUUCUGUAAACACUGGUGCUUUUCCUGAUCACUAUUAUGCCUGCUUUCACAUCUAACAAAGUGGCUUCUGACCCUAAAAAGCUUAAACCUGCAAGAAAUCUAUUAGUCUAAGAUACCUCAUGGCUUUCCGUUUGUUGCAGCUGCCAGACUAAAGGGACUACCAUUCUGGGACUGCAUAAAUUAGGGUUUAAGAUACAUUUUUAAAAAAUAAAUAAAUAAAACCAAACAAACCCAGACAUGAAGUAUUAAGUAACUUAGUACUUAAAAGUAUUGAAACAUUUCCAUUAGCCUUCAACUGUAUUGAGUUUCACCUUUCACUUCCAUUCUGCUUCCAACUUUGAAGUUAUUAAUCCUCUCUCUAAAUGAAGUGGCUUUACUGCAUUUGUCAGUAUCUUCAUCUAGGGGAUGAGCCCAUGGAAUGUGAUUGCAUUUUUAAAAAAGCAAUUUUUUAAAAAAUGAUACAUUUAGACUGAAUUGAGAGCCAUCGUUUACAGGUCCAAUCAACAUGAUGCUGUUGCUGGUGAUUAAAAGGGCAACAUUUUAUGCUGCGUUAAUUAAACACAACUAAUUUAAUGUGUCACUUUAUUUAAUUUUCUUAUAAUAUGAGGAUUUGCCACUGCUCAUUAGCAAGGAUUUCUUUAUUUUUGUUAAAUCUAUGGGAGAGAUAUAUCUAUUUUAAAAAUACUUUUCACCCGUCUUUUGUGCCCAAGGUCCUUCAAGGCAGCUAACAAGACAUUAAAAAAAAUUAAAAGCAUCAAACUAAAAAGAAUAUCAAAAAAGUAGCUGAGCUAAUAACAGCUGAGGGGAGAAAGGGACAGCCCAGCAACUAAAUAAAAGAAAAUCUGUCUGGGGGGGGGGGCUCCAAAUGACCCCAGAAAUAAACAGCAUGAUCUUGACCUGUCACCAGAAGGUCCACAAUAAAAGGAUGGAAUGAACCUCCUACAGGAGGGAAUUUCAGAAUUUCUGUAGCACUGUAUAAAAGGCCCUACCCCAGGUAAGCUUCCUCUACACCUUGCAUGGUGAAGGAGCCUACAGCAGGUGUCUGAGGAAGAGCUAAACAAACAGGUAGUCUUGGGCCUUGGGCAAACUCUGGUGCAAUUGAACAAGCAUCCACAAGGCCUGAGUCAAUGAGAUGCUCAAAAAGAGUGUUGUUGUCUAUGUUGUCUAUAAGAAUAAAAGAAAAUUAUUAUAAAUUAAUUUGGAGAUGGCAUUUAAUACCAGUCAGAUUAAAUCAAAUAAACAAGGAAUAUUCUUUGUUAUGUUGGAGAAGAUGCCAGGAAACCGAGAAUUAUGUUCACAUGUGAUGGGGGUGUAAAUAUGUACAAAUUCUCUGGCAAAGGGUGUUUAAGGAGAUAACAGAAAUCACUGAGUUAAAGCUGACCAAAAGUCCAGAGGUAGCAUUAUUAUCAAUUUAUGAUGGGGUGGAAGGCAUGCAGGCAAUGAAGGACUUGCUCACAAAUUUAUUGACAGCUGCACAAGUCAUUCUAGCUAGGAAGUGGAAGGGGCAAGCAGAAUAUAAAAUAGAAGAAUGGUAUAAAGAGGUGUGGGAUAUAGCUAUUAAUGAUAAAUUAACAUGUGCCAUUAAUGUAAGAUGGGGAAUAUGCAGGAGAAAUGAUUUUGAGGAGAUAUGGAUGGUGUUUGUAGAAUUUGUACUGUUAAAAUGGAAAGGGACCAAACCAUCACAAGAGGUGUUGAAAUUUUGGGAGGUUGGAUAGUUAAAAUGGAAUGGUCUCGGUGGUAGGGUGCACAUUGUUAUAUUUGUUUAUGUAUGAUUAUUACUUUGUCAAAAUAAAAUAAUCAUUUUUUUUAUUAAAAAAAAAGAGUGUUGGUAAUAAGCUCCCACAACAGAAAGAUAAGGAUUAAAUAGGCCAGAGGCAGAGGACUUAAUUGAAGAUUAACUGGAGGUCACGUUCCAGAUCAAGAAAGCAGGGCCAGAGAGUCUGCUUGACUACUCCUUGAGAUGACUGAGGAACUGAUUUUUACAUCUUCAUGACUUCUGUCCCUUUCACAAGCUGUGGAGGUACAAGCCUCACUCAGUAAUUGACUAACAUAUUUUAUAAUAUAUAUAUAUAUAUAUAUAUAUAUAUAUAUAUAUAUAUAUAUAUAGCAUGCAAUCUUGCCUAAUAUACCGGUACACGUUUUACGAUUCUACGAUUCUGUUAUUUCCCCACAAUAUAAUGCAGUGUUAUAUUAUUUUCAUUAGAACCAGGGAGAUAAGGAUUCCAAUCUGUACUCAGUCAUGAAGCUCACUGGGUGGCCUUUCAGCCUAACCUACAUCACAGGGUUGUUGUGAGGAUAACAUGAGAGGAGGAAGAACCAUGUGUGCUACCUUGGGCCCCUGCUUUUAAUGGCAGCCCCAAGUUGAGCACAUUAUGGUAAUCUAAUCUGGAGGUUACAUCCAUCUUGUCUGGAUUAAGUUUCAUUUUGUUGGCCCUCAUCCAGGCCAUUACAGUCUCCAGACACACUCUAUUGUUCUCAGAACACCCUGUGUGAUUUGUGAUUACGUAUAGACUUGGGAGAAUGAGGAUCUUAUUAUUCUACUUUUGCUCUGAACACCCAGAAGCUGAAGUGAUUGCAAGAUUUUGAAAGCCAGAAACCCUUUUAAACAAUUAGGCAACAAUCCCUGGACUGCAGCUUCCCCCACUGAACUUUCAGAAACACUUUAAAGUGCCUUUUGAAAGCUGGUUGCAGGAGAAACGUUGCACAUAGAUUAUUACUUACACUUACACCAGCAAGCAGAACUACAUGCUACGAAAAGAUGUGUGACGCCUCACAUCUCCUAAUGUCUCCCCGACAAAAUGAGUCUCCCCACUCCAACUCUACCACAUUGCUCCCACACAGGAAAAAUCAGGAAAAAUCCUACUGACACCUCCUCGUGCAUUUUGCUUCACUGAGGAAGAGAAGAGAUGUUUUGGUGCUGGUUUCACAUCAAACCCAACAAAGAGGAAAUUGUGGCCCCAAUUCAACAGGUAGAAAACCAGCACGCAAAUUGAGAUCUGAACAUCAAAAAACCACAAAACAGUAUAAACCAGUUAUAUACACCAACCUUAUAUCAUAAAUACAAAUAAAUUAAAUGUGACAUGGUGUACCAGGCCAGCUGGCGGACCAACUCUAUUUUACAUUGAUCUCUGCAAACAUGACAUGAAGUCUGGCAACAGCAACCCUGACAUGUGAGACCCUUACAGAUGACCACAGUGCCUGGAGACAGGCAGUCAAGUCAUAUAUCCAUAACAGUGACCAGAGGAGAAACACGGCGGUGUAUCUGCAGCAGCACAACUGGAUGCCUUCAUCUGCCCUAGCUGCAACAAAACAUGUCUCUCCUGCAUCAGUCUCUACAGCCAUAGCAGGUGCUGAAACCUUCCAACAGCUUGCCCUCUCCCCCAAAGGUGCAGUCCUCCAUUGUCUCCCAAGAUAGAUGGAUGCCAACUCAACAACUCAGUUGUGAUGUAACCAAUAAAUAUUCAGGGGGGGGGGGGUUCAAAUAAAACAAUACAAUUAAGCAAAUGCAUUUCAACCAAGGGUCUUUUUCAGUGAUCUCUGAAUGUACACACGAUAUAUAAUAGAGACAAACAAUAUAUCAGUUUGGAUACUCCAUGCAAAAAUAUAAAACUGAGUUACAACACCUGCAAACAUUAAUGAUUAAAAAAUUGCUUUGUAUGACUAGUUCAUACUAUUCAGCUUUCUGGUCUCAUAUCAGCCAUUAUUUGUAGCCACAAAUGAAUGAAAUUUCAUGCUGCCCUGAAUAUCAAAAAUGACUUGAAAGGAUUAAUAAAUCCUUUUAAUAAAUAAGUUCAGUAAAGGAAGAUCUAAGCUCUACUAAAAAUUGUCCAGGAAUGGGAAAGAAAUCGACCACCUUUUUCUGCCUUCCAAGACUAGUGUGGAAUGCUGAGGAAUAAAAAUGCCAGGCUAGCCCUUUCUAAACAUAACAAACAUACUUCUUGUUGUUGUUGUUGUUGUUGUUGUUUUGUCUGUUAUUGGUAAUUCCUUCUUUGCUUCCAUCCCCACUAUUCCACCAUUACAUUUUUAAAAAUAUUUCAAAGUCCUUUCCCCUUGUUUCAUUUGCCAGCUUUGCUUUCAUCUUGUGUAAACUCAUCAUCUUUUGCUUCUCUGUGCAUCAUCUAUACAAUGCAGAGUUGUUACACACCAUGCUUGUAUCAGGAUACAUUCAAUUUUAUUUUAUGUUUUUCAGCUCAGAAACUGCAAAGUCUGAGGAAACAAUUUACAGCUCCAUCACCUUCAUAAUCUAUUUUGCACGAAUAUGGAAGUUUAACCCUAGGCUACAAAAAGAAGUUGAGAUUAACCAAGAAAUGACAGUAGACGUGUCAAGAUCUAAGCAGCCUAAUAUGAAUGCCACAAGACUGGCUAGGCAAGACCUAGAAUAUUAAUGAAUAUUACCUUCCUCUCCUUAAAACAGAAAGGAAAAAAAUAACCACUUUAUUUGGGGCUAAAUCAUGUUGCUGGUUGAUUUGAUGUUUAGCCUGCCCUUCCUCAAUUUUAUUGAUCCCAGAGUUACAUGCUAUUAAGAAAACAAUAAAGCAGCUGUUUUAAUUUUAAUACAGUAAACAAACUAUGCUUCCAUCUGCCCAUCAAAAAGACAUGGACAAGAAUGCUGUCAGACAAGCCUAUCUCUCAAAAUGUUAGCUAUUGAGAUAUAUCCAUGUGCCAGGUUGUAUUCAAAAUAUAUGAGACUACUUGAAUGUUUACAUUUUAUUGCUAUUGCUAUUGCUCUAGUCAUUGCUUUUCCUUUGUUGUAUUUUUUUAAAAGAUGAAGCUAGAUACCAUGCC
rnacentral:lncRNA from 1 species